UACGAAGGGGGCUAGCGUUGCUCGGAAUUACUGGGCGUAAAGCGCACGUAGGCGGUCUUUUAAGUCGGGGGUGAAAUCCUGGAGCUCAACUCCAGAACUGCCUUCGAUACUGGAAGACUUGAGUCCGGGAGAGGUGAGUGGAACUGCGAGUGUAGAGGUGAAAUUCGUAGAUAUUCGCAAGAACACCAGUGGCGAAGGCGGCUCACUGGCCCGGUACUGACGCUGAGGUGCGAAAGCGUGGGGGAGCAAACAGGG
rnacentral:rRNA from 1 species